GGGCCUAUAACUCAAUAGUAGAGUACCGAUCUCAUAAAUCGGAGGAUUCAGGAGCGUAACCUGUUGGGCCCA
rnacentral:tRNA from 1 species